CGAGCACAAAUAAAAUUAAUUUUAUAAGGAUAAUGUAAACACUUGUGACAAUCUAUAAACUGAAAAUUUCGAAGUUUUUUUUAAUAAGAAGAAAAAAAAUAAUGGUUCUGAAUACACUCUCUUGCUAAUGCUUGAGCAACCGGUUUUCUUGGAUUCUACUAAUAGUCUGACAAAGUAGCAUCUCUUUCACAACUUGAAACAAAAGAAAAUAAAAUUUGAAGUUUAUUUAGAAUUAUAGACGUUGAAACAAAUUAUGAGAUUCAAGAAAUCAGACAAUGGUAUACUCAAAUAUCAAAAGAUAUAAAUGAAGAAAGAAAAAGAAAAAUCGAAGAAAAUCACGUAACGCGUCGUAGUGUUAUUUAACUUCGAUUAAACGUGUUCUUUUGCAUCGAACCACCGAGUCGAUUCGCACGAUAUCCAUAGUCAUUUCUUUUCCGGCCAGUCGUGGUAUCAGAACUUUCACGCUCGAAAUGUUGGCCAGCCAUUGCGAAAUCAGAUGAUAUUUACACAACCGUGCCGACUUUUCUCACUCGUUCACUUUAAUAAACGCGGGCUAAUUAUCGUAGAAAUUUUAACUAUUAUAACAAUUCUUGCAGGAAGAAUUGCAGUUGGAUUACAUAUCGGAUGGAUCAUUAGUAUUCCUCAAGGUCGUGAUCGUCGGAAUAUAUACCAUACAUGCUACUUCUGUGUAAGAUAGAUCUCGAAAGAGGGUGUAUUUUGCUGGUAUGCACAUCUUAAUUAAAUACAUUUAUCGUUCAAUGCGUUUCACAAAUAAGAAAUCCGAGUAUGUGAUUUAUUUUUGGAAGAUAAUUUAAUUCGUAUUACAAUGUCGAAUAAAUAAAAAUCUAUUUUACGAAAUAAUUUUGCAAGUGGAAAAAUUUUGAUGAGAAAUAUAAAAAAAAAUUUUUUAAAUAGGUUUAUGGGUUAAGUUAUUGCC